GUGAGGAAUAUUGCGCAAUGGAGGCAACUCUGACGCAGCCAUGCCGCGUGCAGGAAGAAGGCGCUACGCGUUGUAAACUGCUUUUAACCGGGAAGAAACCCCAGGACGUGUCCUGGGUUGACGGUACCGGAGGAAUAAUCACCGGCUAACUUCGUGCCAGCAGCCGCGGUAAUACGAAGGGUGCAAGCGUUAUCCGGAUUCAUUGGGUUUAAAGGGUGCGUAGUCGGAGCGUUAAGUCAGUGGUGAAAUCCUGCAGCUUAACUGUAGACUUGCCAUUGAUACUGGCGAUCUUGAGUGCGCUUGAAGUGGACGGAAUGUGCCGUGUAGCGGUGAAAUGCUUAGAUAUGGCACAGAACACCAAUUGCGAAGGCAGCUCACUAAGGCGAUACUGACGCUGAGGCACGAAAGCGUGGGGAUCGAACAGGAUUAGAAACCCCGGUAGUCC
rnacentral:rRNA from 1 species